GCGGCCGCGGGAAUUCGAUUAGAGUUUGAUCCUGGCUCAGAGCGAACGCUGGCGGCAGGCUUAACACAUGCAAGUCGAGCGGGCGUAGCAAUACGUCAGCGGCAGACGGGUGAGUAACGCGUGGGAACAUACCUUUUGGUUCGGAACAACACAGGGAAACUUGUGCUAAUACCGGAUAAGCCCUUACGGGGAAAGAUUUAUCGCCGAAAGAUCGGCCCGCGUCUGAUUAGCUUGUUGGUGAGGUAACGGCUCACCAAGGCAACGAUCGGUAUCCGGCCUGAGAGGGCGGACGGACACACUGGGACUGAGACACGGCCCAGACUCCUACGGGAGGCAGCAGUGGGGAAUAUUGGACAAUGGGCGAAAGCCUGAUCCAGCAAUGCCGCGUGUGUGAAGAAGGCCUGCGGGUUGUAAAGCACUUUCAGUGGGGAAGAAAAGUGCAGCGCUAAUAUCGCUGCAUCUUGACGUUACCCACAGAAGAAGCACCGGCUAACUCCGUGCCAGCAGCCGCGGUAAUACGAAUCACUAGUGAAUUCGCGGCCGCCUGCAGGUCGACCAUAUGGGAGAGCUCCCAAGGCGUUGGAUGC
rnacentral:rRNA from 1 species